rnacentral:rRNA from 1 species
AUCAAUGGCCAUACCAGUCUGAAAAUGCCUGAUCUCGUCAGAUCUCAGAAGCUAUCCAGACUUGGGCCUGGCUAGUACUUGUAUGGGAGACCAACUAGGAACCUCAGGUGCCAUAAGUU